CCAACCGUGACUCCUUUCCCACCCCACGAUCUCUCCUCUCCUCUCCUCCACAUCCGCCGCACCCCCCGCGCCACCUACCUCCUCUCCAGCGGCGACCUCCGCCCACUGCCCCCGAUCCUCUCCACAUCCCCUCACCUUCUAUCCCACAGCAGGGCCCCUAGAUCAAGGAGGCAGGCACCGUCAGAUCCGCCAUGCCCACAGCUCUCUCUGCCCCACCCCAAACCCUACCCACAGCCGCCGCCGUGCUCCAUCACCAGCGACCUUGCCGCCGCUGCCCCUCUCCCCUCGCCCUAUCUCCAUACCUGCGACACCGAGCCGGACGGGAGGAGCCACCGCCCCACAGCACGCGCGUGCCGGUAGGGCGAGGGGAUCAGUAUGUACAGGCGGUGCCCCCGCCGGAUCUGAACAAGAACACCGGGUGGUUCAUGUACCUGGCAUUCCUAGAUCCAUCCGCCCCAUCCUCUCCUCACCCUAUCUUCCUCGGUGUUGGGGCAUCCAGAUCGAGCAGGUCAGGUGCCCGCGCUCCAUGAUCUCCAUGCGAUGCACCGGCGAGGCGACAGAGGUGCUCGUGGUGGACGCCUCCGCCGUCUUCCACCGACACGCAGCCGCGCCCUCCAACGCCGCUCUUCCACACGACGACAGACCUGUGUGCCGCUCGGCUGGGACAGAACCCCGCGCUCGACGAUGCCAUGGACAUGGAGGUCUUCAAGGGGAAGCUGAUACCCACACGGCCAGCUCGUGCUCACUGUGUUUGACCGCCAGCUUGUGCUCUACCGCGACGAGUACCGAUGCCCACACAGGUAUGACCUGCGUGCCCCCAUGACCUUGCACCGGUGCUAUGUGCGUGAGCGCAUGCGCGCUUGCUGCAAUGUCGGGUGUGGUGGUGUGUUGAAAACUUACGAUGGGGGCGGCCAGGUGGUGCGUGGCCGUGUGUGUGGCGAUGUAUGGAGCUCCGGAGAUUCCUAUUGGAUUGCCGAGACUUGGUCUUGGUUCUGCCGUUGGUCUUUAUGAAGCUUUGGAACUGAGGGACGGUGGAUCUAACUACUUGGGAAAGGGUGUUUCCAAGGUCUGGCAGCACCGCCGCGUCGACAACGAAGGUGGUGAUCGCAGCGGCGAGCGGCGCGAGUUGGUGGCUGCGGGACUCGACAACACGUCUCAUAUAUGUGCUUUCGACUAAUCCAGCUUCUUUUGGUCUAGCUGGGCAUUACUUUGAGUUCAUGACCGCAUGAUAGACUACUAAAUGGACAAGUAUCUGCAACGUUCAGCGUCAAAGAUGAUGCUUACCAGAUGUUCUACUGCAGCCCCAUCCAUAUCAUCGACAUGAAGUUAGAUUUUUGGCCUUUAUUCGUCAAAAGUUUGUGUACAAGGAACUCCAGGAGAAGAAUCUUUAAGUAAAUAAUUUAUAUAGAUCAGGAUCUUAUGUUGUCGAGGUGGCUGCUACUGUGACCAAAGAUCAGCCUGGAGUUGUGCAUCAUAGUCUUAGUUGAUGUUGCCACCAUGUUUUGGUGCCUGUGUAUUUGAUUGUAUGACACUUGAUGGAUCGUGUAGUCGUGUACGUGCUGUUUUGAGUUUCAUUUAGUGAUUUCUGGAUUUGAUCAUUUAAUUGAGAAAAUUAUUUAUUGUUUA